rnacentral:tRNA from 1 species
AGUUAAUGAACUUGUAUAAGUGUAUGCUUUGAAAGCAUAAAAAAGAGUUAACUCUCUAUUAGCUU